UAGCGUAGGGGGCAAGCGUUGUCCGGAAUCAUUGGGCGUAAAGCGCGUGUGAGGCGGUCCGGUAAGUCCGCUGUGAAAGUCGGGGGCUCAACCCUCGAUGCCGGUGGAUACUGUCGGGCUUGAGUACGGAAGAGGCGAGUGGAAUUCCUGGUGUAGUCGGUGAAAUGCGCAGAUAUCAGGAUGGAACACCAAUUGCGAAGGCAGCUCGCUGGGACGUUACUGACGCUGAGACGCGAAAGCGUGGGGAGCAAACAGG
rnacentral:rRNA from 1 species